rnacentral:lncRNA from 1 species
ACUGCAUCAUGUGUUUGCAGAGCUAAGUAAACAAGUCAGAGGGACUCCAACUUAGUGUAACGAUGUGGGGCUCCUGCACAUGAAGGACCACACUCCAGGCUACACCACUUGAGGUACCAGCUGAUGGGGAAAAUUAUAUCUGGAAAGCGACCCUGCCACUCCGCAGCUGAAUGAGAAGCAGAAUAGGCUGGCACUGCUCAGUCCUGCUCCAUACCCAGCUCCUGUUGCAGCAGCUGCAAGCAGGCAACAAUGAAGCCCCUCCAGACGCUUAUCAAUUCCAGAGGAAAGGAAACAGUGGAAGCAAAUCUCCAGAGGCAGUAUUAUACCCUAAUUAAAGAACUUAUAAAUCCUCUUCAAGAGAGGAAAGGAGAAGAGAAGAGAAGAGAGAGAAAGAGAAAAGAGAAGUAGCUCCUCACUUGUGAAGGCUGGAGAGGAACGGAUAAGAUCUCCUAAGACACCAAACUUUCAUACCAGUAAUUUAUAGUAAUCACAAUUCAAAUUGUCUGAUGUGUGGAAUAUGUACAUUUUCUAGUAGGUUCUAUCAAGCAAAUUAUUUUUUUAGAAACAUUAACUGUAUUUUCCCUUAAUCUUAAAUAAACUCUUAUAUGUUUGUUAGAACA